rnacentral:rRNA from 1 species
AUUGAACGCUGGCGGCAGGCCUAACACAUGCAAGUCGAGCGGAGCGGCGGACGGGGGAGUAAUGCCUGGGAAUCUGCAUGGUAGUGGGGGAUACAGUCGGGAAAGGGGCCAUAUUACCGCAUACUUUAAGUGCGCCUUAGGUUGGAUUAGCUAGUUGGUGGGGUAAGGGCUUACCAAGGCGACGAGCCGUACGUGGUCUGAGGGGAUGACCAGUAACACUGGAACUGAGACACGGUCCAGAAUCCUACGGGAGGCAGCAGUGGGGAAUAUUGGACAAUGGGCGAAAGCCUGAUCCAGCCAUGCCGCGUGUGUGAAGAAGGUCUUCGGAUUGUAAAGCACUUUAAGUUGGGAGGCGGUAACAACAGAAUAAGCACCGGCUAACUUCGUGCCAGCAGCCGCGGUAAUAC